AGCGAACGCUGGCGGCAUGCUUAACACAUGCAAGUCGCGCGGUCAGCAAUGGCCGCGGCGGACGGGUGAGUAACGCGUAGGAAUGUGUCCAGAGGUGGGGGACAACCCCGGGAAACUGGGGCUAAUAACGCAUAUGUCCUGAGGGACAAAGCAGUAAUGCGCCUUUGGAGCAGCCUGCGUCCGAUUAGGUAGUUGGUGGGGUAAUGGCCUACCAAGCCUGCGAUCGGUAGCUGGUCUGAGAGGAUGAUCAGCCACACUGGGACUGAGAGACGGACCAGACGGCUACGGGAGGCAGCAGUGGGGAAUAUUGGACAAUGGGGGCAACCCUGAGCAAGCAAUGCCGCGUGUGUGAAGAAGGUCUUCGGAUCGUAAAGCACUUUCGACGGGGACGAUGAUGACGGUACCCGUAGAAGAAGCCCCGGCUAACUUCGUGCCAGCAGCCGCGGUAA
rnacentral:rRNA from 1 species